AGCAAGUGGGAGUGUUCUGAACAGUGGUUCAGCAGUGGUCUUACAUAUUGAAAGCACCAAUGAGACCUAAGUGUCUGAGAAGGCUUUUCUUAGAUGAGAGCUAGCUUUGUGGCCACUGAACUUCAAAAAAUGGUUUGUAAAUGCCCAAAUUAAAGGUAAUUUUAAAUGCUGAUGCUACUCAAAAACGAUUCCCAAAACUCAACACAUAUCAACAGAGCAUUAACAAGUUUAACCUAAAAACCUUCCGGAUGUAAACCUUGGAUUUAGAACAACAUGGGGCUGAGACAUGGCUUCAAAGUAGUCUUGAAUAAGUGAUAACAGAAGGAUUUUCAACUAAAAUACUAUCAUUACUGUUUGGGAACUGUUGAGUCACAGCCUGAAGCACUGAUUGAGCACCUGGGUAAAGGACCCAACUCAGCCCUGGGUGCACAGGUGAAGGCAAUUCAGCAGUGUGACUGGAAGGGGUGGAGCCUGGCUGCACCUCUCUUAGACCCCAUUUAAGGGCUGACUGCCACUGGGGAAGUAUCUUUCUCUAGAGAUCCCUCUUUAGUGAAGCUUUCCUCUGCAAAUCUGGACUCUUCUGAUAUGGGAAAGGCUGACACCAAGUGAGCUGCGUCCUUGCAUCAUCUUGUUUUUGCUUUAAUAGUCGUGACUCCACCUCAGAAUAUUCCUGCAGCUUCAGGUCAGCUCGCAGGGAGCUGUUGGGUCUCUUCUCCAUGAAACAGAGCUGGAAAGGUGUUUCUGUGCUGAAAACUAUGUCUUGGGUUAACUGCAGUUAAAGAGGAAGAAAGUUGCCAGGAGGAAUGACAUCAUGCACAUCUGUAUAUAGCUGCAAGAGGAAGGUGAAGGUCGGGGAGGAAGGCUCACACCUCCGCACUGGUGGGCUGACACCAGGCACCCACCUCCACCAGACGUGGCUGGAAAGCUGUGCCUGCAUGGAAACUCCUGGAUCAGGUUCUUCAAGGAUGGGCAUAGCCACCUGUAGUGGAAAUGCUGAGUCUUGGCUUAAACCAGUGAUUGAGCACCUGGUAGGAAGGCAGGCCACAGCAGGGGAGCUCAUUACAUGCACCUGAGUGACCAGAAGUGGUGAAGCCAGGAUCCACCCCUUCCCAGACCUCAUUUCAGGGUUGGCAGUGGAGGUGAGGGUAUCUCACUAGAGAUCCCUGCCUAUCAGAAGCCUUUUAAAGUUUGAUUAUCCGUCAUGAUAAGACAUUACUUAAAGCAGCGGUGACACUGUCUAAUCAUUCUUGUGAAAUAUAGAGUUCUCUCUCUACUUCAGACAGAGCCGACAUUAAUACACAUUUAUGCAAAGCAGAGCUGGAGCUGUCAGGGGCUAAUCUUUACAAGUAUGAUAAAUGAUGUUUAUUUUCAGUGAUGGAACGAAACACCCGGGCUGACAAUAAUUGUAAUAAAAAGG
ensembl:lncRNA